rnacentral:rRNA from 1 species
UUGACGGAGAGUUUGAUCCUGGCUCAGGACGAACGCUGGCGGCGGGCUUAACACAUGCAAGUCGAACGAGGUCCAUCUUGUAGCAAUACAAGUGAAGACCUAGUGGCGAACGGGUGAGGAACACGUGAGAAAUUUGCCCCGAACUUUGGGAUAACAGUUGGAAACGACUGCUAAUACCGAAUGCCGUUACGAAGUGGCAUCACUUUGUAACGAAAGAAUUUCGGUUCGGGAGAAUCUCGCGGCCUAUCAGCUUGUUGGUGAGGUAACGGCUCACCAAGGCUACGACGG